rnacentral:rRNA from 1 species
GAUGAACGCUGGCGGCGUGCCUAAUACAUGCAAGUCGAGCGAAGCGGGGACGGGUGAGUAACACGUGGAAAACCUCCUAUAUGAGUGGGAUAACUCCGGGAAACCGGACCUAUACCGGACACUUAUAGUUGGAUCCGCGCUGCUGUAGCUAGUGGGUGGGGUAACGGCUUACCAAGGCAACGAUGCAUAGCCGACCUGCGAGGUGGACGGGCCACACUGGAACUGAGACACGGUCCAGACUCCUACGGGAGGCAGCGGUGGGGAAUCUUCCGCAAUGGGCGAAAGCCUGACGGAGCAACGCCGCGUGGGUGAUGAAGGUCUUCGGAUGGUAAAACUCUGUUAUUGGGGAGGCGGUACCUAAACAGAAAGCCACGGCUAACUACGUGCCAGCAGCCGCGGUAAUUC